GACGAACGCUGGCGGCGUGCUUAACACAUGCAAGUCGAACGCUGAAGCUCAGCUUUUGUUGGGUGGAUGAGUGGCGAACGGGUGAGUAACACGUGAGUAACCUGCCCCCUUCUUUGGGAUAACGCCCGGAAACGGGUGCUAAUACUGGAUAUUCACUGGUCUUCGCAUGGGGGUUGGUGGAAAGGGUUUUUCUGGUGGGGGAUGGGCUCGCGGCCUAUCAGCUUGUUGGUGGGGAGAUGGCCUACCAAGGCUUUGACGGGUAGCCGGCCUGAGAGGGUGACCGGUCACAUUGGGACUGAGAUACGGCCCAGACUCCUACGGGAGGCAGCAGUGGGGAAUAUUGCACAAUGGGCGCAAGCCUGAUGCAGCGACGCCGCGUGAGGGAUGGAGGCCUUCGGGUUGUGAACCUCUUUCGCUCAUGGUCAAGCCGCAACAAUGGUUGUGGUGAGGGUAGUGGGUAAAGAAGCGCCGGCUAACUACGUG
rnacentral:rRNA from 1 species